AAUCUACCUCUAACUCGGGGAUAACAUCGCGAAAGUGAUGCUAAUACCGGAUAAUAUCUAAUUUGCUUCGGCAGUUUAGGUCAAGGGUGGCCUCUAUAUAUAAGCUACUGAUUGGAGAUGAGCCCGCGUACCAUUAGCUUGUUGGUAGGGUAAUGGCCUACCAAGGCUACGAUGGUUAGCUGGUCUGAGAGGAUGAUCCGCCACACUGGAACUGGAACACGGACCAG
rnacentral:rRNA from 1 species